rnacentral:sRNA from 1 species
CCUGAGUGCUGGGUUUAAAAGUGUGCGCUGGCUGAAACUCACCAAUCUUAAAUCAAUAUAGAAAGGCCCUAAUUUCUCCCAAACUGUCUCCUCCACUUAUCUCUCUCAACAAUAUCUCAGUGUUACAUCCCAUUCUGCCCCCCAAGCCCCUCGUUUAGAGGAAAGCCAUCUCUCUCUUACAUCUAAAUACAAAUGAAGCAAAAAUGUUCCUCACCAGACCCUGGGCUCUCAUUACUUCCUCCUUUCCUACUCUUGGCUGCACCUAAACUACUCUGGAAUUCCUAGAAGAAAAGUUUGAUAAAUUCAGGAGAAUGAUGGGAACAAAGAACAGAACCAAUCAGAUGCAUGGGAUGGGAUCAUGUUGUCAGAGCUAAGAGGACAGGAAGAAGAGGGCGGCCAAGGCUCCCAGAGGUCUACGUUGUAAUCCAUACUGUGCCCUUCCAGGUGACUCAUUUAUUCAACAAAUACUCGGAGAACACAUAGUUCCUGUUCCCAUGGGCAUCCCAUGCCACCUACAGGUGACACAGAAACCGUGUCCAGUGAUCCACAGGCGGUGAAGGGAAAGAUAUGUAGGCUACAGAGUGUGGACCACGAUCACCAAUCUGGACUUGGGGCGGGGGGUUGGGGGGGAGGCCAGGGAGAGGGCUAAGGACGGCAGGUAAGGGGAGGGGGUGGGUGAAAGAGCUGGUGGAAGAGGCUCAGAGACAAGAGGGUGAGCAGUUAGUAAAAGCCACAUCAGAGUUGUGGACUUGAGGGGCUCCCUGUCUUCAUGCCGUGGGUGCUGACGCCAGAUUCAGAUCAGCUGGCUGCCCUUGCGCAAGGCCCUCAGUCUCUCUGAAGUUUCUGCCCAUGCCCAUGUUUCCUGACUGGGUCCUGUGAUACUGGAAAAGGGCUGUGUUUGAUGGAGGGGGCCCUAAACCAGAGUUAACCCCUGUUCCAGAACGGCCUCCUCCUCCAUCCCAUCAGGUGCUCCAAGGAGAAUUUCAGCGACCCGGGAGUCUCACUGAACUCUUCUCCCAGUAGAAAUGAAGCAUGAGAGGACUGAAGCAUUCUGGGAAGUUUUUGAAUAUACGGUGAUUCUAGCGGGAAAAUUAGUCCUAGACAGGAAGAUCGGUUGAUCUAGAGGCAACCUGUGGCAGGCCAGAAGCUGGCACGAACAGUUCCUUGGAUAACUGCCUCACAAUUAUGGCUGCAGCGCCCCCUUGUGGACAUCUUACACACUAGUAAACAGAUUAGUUUUACAGCUGGAAGGGAAGCGCUCUUUCUUGGGAGACAGUACUUCCUCCAUAGUUUUGUUGACCAGAGAAAAGGAGGUAUACACCCAGGGCUUCGCAGGAGGAACUUUGGACUUCUAGCUCUCCUGGGUUCUAACUCUUACCAUACUAACAGCUUACUCCUCUCUGUUGCUAUAGGAAGGCCAGGGAGCAGUAUGGGGGGGUGGGUUCUGUUGUGUCCAGACUGGCUUGGCUCUCGAUUUUUCUGGCUAGGGUAAGGCUAGGUCAGCAGGCCAGAAAAGGAGCUGGGGGCGCGGAAGAAACCUGCCUGGCUGCAGAGGGUCAUGUCUCCUUUGACCGCCAGGGGGUGCUCUGGAGCUGAGCUGAGCUGAGCUGAGCUGUUUCAGCUCUGACUGCAUCUGGGAGGACAAGGAAGCUUUGCAGCCUGAGGACAAAGGGCAUGUGUUUUAUCAGCUGGCUGCCCUUGCGCAAGGCCCUCAGUCUCUCUGCAAAUGUUUCUCUUACCUAGUUUUGGAGGCCCAGAAGGAAGUGUAGUUUGGCCUAGGGGCUUGGAGGGUGGGUCUAUGAGGUGAGCCUGUGAAGAGGCCAGCAGCUAACUGUGUCUGAAGGCUGGCCUCUAAAGUAGAUAUGACUAUCAAACGCACAUCCCAAGACCAGGCCACCAGUAGAUGACACAGUCUAUGUUUCAGGGCUUUGGACUCUAAAUACUGUCUUUUCCCUUAUAGUUCUCCUGAGUUUGCUUAGGGAGUACUGAAGGUGGUGGAGGGAAGGGGUGUUACACACCCCUGAGCCUCUGUUUUCUCAUCUGUGAAGUGGGUGGUAACCCUUUCUCCUGGAAAGCCGCGCAAUAAUGCGCACGUGUUGUGGCUGUAAAGAGACAGAGAGUAGGGGUCAAGGGUAGCUAGUUUUUUCCAUGUGGGCUCACUGUUAGAGAUUGGGCUGGGGCAGACAGACCCUGUUGUUAACUCCCUGAGGCAGGUAGAGAGGUUACCAGUGGCAGUGCCCUGGACCAGAGUGCUGAGAGUGGGUGGAGCUGGGCCUUGCUAAAAGCGCUCAGAUGGUCAGGUAUUAGUGUAUACACCCAGGGUUUCGCAGGGAUGGAGCUAAGAGGGGCUGAGGCCUGGCAGGGUGAGGGAAAGGGCAGUUAGGAGGGGUGAGGGAUGAGUCACUUACCCAACCCCCAGCUCAGCUUGGUGGGAUGCGGAAGGAGUGAAGAGGCCCGGCUGCCUGGCAGUACCAGGCCGAGGCGGGGAGGACUGAGAAGCCGACUUGGUGGUUAAUCUCAACUGUCAAGUUGACUGGAUUUAGAAUCAACCAGAGGGCAGGGUUUAUGGUGUGUCUGGGAGCUCGUCUCCAGAGAGCAUGAUGGACACGUGACAUUUGGUGUCUGAAGCAGCUAUCAACUGCUGAGGCUGACUGUGGGCCAGGCACCAUUUUAUCUAUGAUUGUUUGCUCAGCUCCCUCAAACCCUGCAAGAGGUACAUCUGGGUGGAUGGAAAAUUACCUUUAGACACGGUGCGAUGUCCCCAUGGGCAAAGGUGCUUGCUGCUGAGUUCAACGACCUGAGUUCCAUCCCAGGAUCCACAUGACAGAAGGGGAGACCCCACUCCUGCAAGUUGUCCUCUGACCACCACACAUGCGCCACGGCAAACCCCACAAUAACUAAUGUAUUAUUGUCA